CCGACUCUUCGCGGCGCAGGCAUCAUCCCGAUCUUCAUUUUACAGUUGAGGGGAGCCAAGACUCAGCGUGGGGCUGACAAGUUCGCAGGAAAUAAGGAGACGCAACCACAGGCUGGAAAGAUGGAGAAGAGGAGAGAUGAGUAACCAGGAGAGAACCAAUGAGAUGGGCCGGCAGCGCCGGAUGAUCCGUGGGGCCAUGGGAAGGCGGGCGACGGAGGCCUACUCAGCAUCUUCAGCUGUUCCCUGGCCCUCCCUGCCAUCUGGACGCCUCCGCUAGGGGAUGUGCUGCUGGCAUAGGAGAGAUGCGAGAGGUAGAGGCCAAAGAAGCUGAGCUCGGAGGCUCCAGUGACCCAGGGACGUGGAGACCCUCCCUUUGCCCCUUCAGGGCCUAAGUCUGUGGAUGCUGACCACCCUCAGCCCACCCCCAAUAACUGGGAAUUUUCCUUUUUGGCUCGUUACGGUGGUGGGGUUCUCUGCCUCUGCCUGCCACUAAAUCAAGUCUUAGACAGACUUUCCCUCUGCACUCACAUGCCCCUCCCUUGUUGCAUGGUCUGUUCAGAAGCAGUAUCUUUGGGAAGAGGCCUGGCUCCUAAAUCCCAAGCCUGCCACUUACUAGCUAGAGACCUGAACUAGUGCCUUCCCCCUUUUGAAUCUCCUUUCUUCCCAAAUGGAGGGAGGCCAUCUACUUUUCUGAAUUGUCAUGAGGAUGGAAGAAAUAACAGAUGGUAAGCCUCACACACACUAACAAUGAAUGGUGACCACACCCCCACACCUUCUUUCGGGGUCUCCUCCCCAGGGCAGUUGACCCAGCAGUGCUCAAGAAUAAACCAAGGCUCUUUGAGACCCAUA